AUUGAACGCUGGCGGCAGGCCAAACACAUGCAAGUCGAACGGUAACAGGAAACAGCUUGCUGUUUCGCUGACGAGUGGCGGACGGGUGAGUAAUGUCUGGGAAACUGCCUGAUGGAGGGGGAUAACUACUGGAAACGGUAGCUAAUACCGCAUAACGUCGCAAGACCAAAGAGGGGGACCUUCGGGCCUCUUGCCAUCGGAUGUGCCCAGAUGGGAUUAGCUUGUUGGUGGGGUAACGGCUCACCAAGGCGACGAUCCCUAGCUGGUCUGAGAGGAUGACCAGCCACACUGGAACUGAGACACGGUCCAGACUCCUACGGGAGGCAGCAGUGGGGAAUAUUGCACAAUGGGCGCAAGCCUGAUGCAGCCAUGCCGCGUGUAUGAAGAAGGCCUUCGGGUUGUAAAGUACUUUCAGCGGGGAGGAAGGGAGUAAAGUUAAUACCUUUGCUCAUUGACGUUACCCGCAGAAGAAGCACCGGCUAACUCCGUG
rnacentral:rRNA from 1 species